GCUCUCGCUUGGGUCUGAACUGUGGGUUGGAGCUGUUGCCAGCCCUUGGAUUAGACUUCUGGAUCUGGGCUCCUCAGUCCCUGAGCUGGCCUUGUUGGCCCGACGCGGCGCUGUCCGCAUGUUUUCCUGUACUUAAACUUGUGGCUCUCCGUGACCUCGUGUCAACUUGCAGGCUCUGUAGGACCUCACCAUCCUCUUCUACCCUGGCUUCUGCAGCAGCCAGGCUGAGCCACUGGAGUUGCUUCAGAGCUUUAGUGACUAAGCCAUCAAUCAGUUAUUGGAUCGCCUCAUCUUUGGGGACCUUUUCCACUAUCUGUUCUCACUCCACCACCUUGUCCUCACCCAUGACUGUGUCGCUUCAGAAACAUGGUGUAGUGGGACCACAUGACCUAAUCAUGCGUUGGUGACACUAGAAUCAAGGUCUCCGACUUCAGCUAAACCCUCAACUCAGUGGAUUGGGACGGCACUGAGAAGCCCCUGAUGUGCCGCAUCUUAGGCAGAAUCCUGUGGAGACUGGUUCCAGCUGCCACAUGGGCCCUUAAGCAGAUUUUGGAUCCCAGGGUGGAGGCCACGCAGAGCCUGAAACUUCUCAGGAAGUCAUGCUGCCAAGCACCGGUGGUAGUCUCUCUGAGUCGGUCAGUUAUGCUGAUGGCAGAAUUGAGUUCAUGAGGAAAAGGAUUCCACUGCAACUUGAAGCUUGGUGAAAAGCCUCAGCUUAAGCAGGUUUUUAUGGCUAAAAUUAUCUGUCGCUGCAGGAAAGUACACUGCUGAGUGAGAAUGAAGGAUUUAUGGAAUUGUUUCGGGGUAGGGUGGCCAAUGUUUUAAAAAAUUCCUGCCCAAGAACAUUUGAGGUGUGACUUUUCAUAAAUCAUAGUUACGAAGAGUGAGCCCAGUCAUUUAUAUGUAUAAACUCAGAUAAAAAAAAUAGUAGUGGGCGCCUGGGUGACUCAGUCAGUUGAGCGUCCGACUUCGGCUCAGGUCAUGAUCUUGUGGUCUGUGGGUUGAAGCCCCGUGUUGGGCUCUGUGCUGACAGCUCAGAGCAUGGAGCCUGCUUUGGAUUCUGUGUCUCCCUUUCUCUCUGCCCCUCCCCCGCUCAUGCUCUGUCUCUCUCUCCGUCAAAAAUAAACAUUAACAAAAAAAAUAGUAGUAGUGUUAUAUAUGAGUGAAAGAGCUCCACAGCACUUUAAGAGUUAAACCAGGUUAAAUCAUAAGAGAUGGAAGCCAUCUAUUACCAGAAGCAAUUUUAAAAGACAAAAUGUCCCCCAGGUCAAAGGCAAGAAGAAUAGAGAUUGACUUCAGUUGAAUCAGUGGAAUUAGUGUGUUUCAAAAAGAGCAAGUCAACAGAAGGGGGAAGGUCUACACAGUACAGGGGAUGAGAGCCAGAGGAAAGGAUAUAAUAAUAAUGUAGUAAUUAACAGUUUGUUGAGCAGUUACCAUGUGGUAAGUAGUUUGAAUGAAUCAUUUAAUCCCUACAACAGCCCUGUUAUCGAAAUCAAAAAACUUCACUAGUGGUUAAAUCUGGGAUUUGAACCAGAUCUGUCGGCCUCCAAAGCCUGUGGGCUUAACUAUUCUUAUCCAGUUUUGUCCUGGGUAAGGGUGCUUUUGGCAAGCCAGGACACUGCCAUUGGCUACACACAUUCUUUCAUUUCCUCUUUGGGAGUUACCUCCACACACCAUGGGUCACUGUUUGGAAUCUCUUCACUGGCAAAUCAAAGACAUAAUUUGAGCUAUAAGGGAGAAUAGAGUUGACAUUGUCCACUCUCCUCCUCUUACAGAUGGUGUCCAUAACUUUAUUUUUGUAGACUGCCAUGAACCCCUCUCCCCCAGCUCUGGGGAAUGAGGUCCAUGAUCUAGCAGGGGAAUUCCAUUUUUAUCUGUGAGAUGUGAUUCUAAAGGAAUGCAGUUGAUUUUCUUGUGUGGCUUGUUAUGUUAUUCAUGGUUUAAUCAGAAAAUUAAAAACUCUGAGAGGUUAAAACAUAAGGACUUUAUCUGAGGACAAACAGGCUCAGGACCAGCACACCUGUAAACUGGCUCAGAAUUGUUUGCAAGGGCAGCAUUAUUAGAAAUAAGCACAUGGCCUCCAAGGAUAUUACUUUGAAGGGCAAAAUUCGUGGAGGUGAUAAGUCGUGGCAUACUUCCACUUUCCUGACCUUGACCACUUUCCUGGCAGAUCCUUCCAGCAUAGAUUCUCAAUGGCACCAUGUGCCCCUCCUUUAUGGGACUCACCCCUGGUGUAAUGUUACAUUCGUUUGCACGAUUAUUUGACUAAUGCCUGUCUCCUCCAUAGACUGCACGAGCUCCACAAGAACUGAGUUUGUGACGAAUUUUAUUCAUCAUUGUAUCCCUGGCACCUGGUACAAUGCUGUGAAAGUCAGUCAUAGGCAUUCAGUAAAUGUUUUUUCAGUGAAUGUGUUCAAUUUUCAACAUCAGUCUCCUUAAGUACCCAAGAGAAAUGAAAACAUAUGUCCACACAAACAAUGGUAUGUGAAUGUUCCUAGCAGUGACAUUCGUAAUGGCUGCAAAGUGGCAAUUAUCCAAAUGUCCAUCAGCUGGUGAGCGGAUAAACAAAAGGUGGCACAUCCAUACAGUGGAAUACCAUUCAGCAAUAAAAAAGAAAAACAUGUACUACAACAUGGAUAAACCCCAAAGAUAUUAUGUUAAAUGAAAUAAGCCAGACACAAAAGACUACACAGUGUACUAUUCCAUAUGUAUGAAAUUUCUAGAAAAGGAAACACUGCAAAGAAGAAAGCAGACCCAUGGCUGCCUUGGCCUGGGGGUAGGAGUGGGGACUGCCUCCAUGUGGGAAGAAGGGAACUUUUGCAGGUGAUGGAAAUGUUCUAAAAUUGGAUUCUGGUGAUGGUUGCACAACUGUAUAAAUUUACAAAAAAUUAUAAAACUAUACAUUUGCAGUGGUGAAGUGUAUGGCAUGUGAAAUAUGUCUCAAUAAAGCUGUUAAAAGUG